GGGCGGUUAGCUCAGUUGGUUAGAGUACUACCUUGACAUGGUAGGGGUCAUUGGUUCGAAUCCAUUACCGCCCA
rnacentral:tRNA from 3 species